rfam:Triticum aestivum genome assembly, contig: Triticum_aestivum_CS42_TGACv1_scaffold_345191_4DL
CAAAUGCAUACGAGGCACCACGAGUUUAUGGGUAAUUUGCAUCUGAGGCAUUUCUUUGCCGUGACUCUUUUUCACCUUGGAUCCGAUGCAUGCC